UUAGAUUGGCUAUAAAUGAUUUGGAGCCAGUAGUUGGCUCCAUUAAUACCCGGCUAUAAAUGAUUUGGAGCAAGUUCAAUAGUAUAGCCAACUACUGGCUCCAAAUCAUUUAUAGCCA
rnacentral:pre_miRNA from 1 species